rnacentral:rRNA from 1 species
GACGAACGCUGGCGGCGUGCUUAACACAUGCAAGUCGAACGGAAAGGCCCUGCUUUUGUGGGGUGCUCGAGUGGCGAACGGGUGAGUAACACGUGAGUAACCUGCCCUUGACUUUGGGAUAACUUCAGGAAACUGGGGCUAAUACCGGAUAGGAGCUCCUGCUGCAUGGUGGGGGUUGGAAAGUGUCGGCGGUUGGGGAUGGACUCGCGGCUUAUCAGCUUGUUGGUGGGGUAGUGGCUUACCAAGGCUUUGACGGGUAGCCGGCCUGAGAGGGUGACCGGCCACAUUGGGCCUGAGAUACGGCCCAGACUCCUACGGGAGGCAGCAGUGGGGAAUAUUGCACAAUGGGCGGAAGCCUGAUGCAGCAACGCCGCGUGCGGGAUGACGGCCUUCGGGUUGUAAACCGCUUUCGCCUGUGACGAAGCGUGAGUGACGGUAAUGGGUAAAGAAGCACCGGCUAACUACGUG